GAGCGGGUGUCUCGAAUCGAGAUAAAGCUGUAUGGGGAGGAUGCUGGGAAUGCGACACCAAGGGACAAUAAGUUGCUGUUCAAGGACAAGGGUCCGAACAACGUGUUACCAUGGCGCAUCAGACCAAAGAUCAAACGCCACCCUGCGGUGUAUAUGAGCGAUACCAGUAGUAACAGUACUAGUGACGAGUCAUUCACAUGGAGUAUAACAUUAGAUGAUCUUCCAGAUGCAUGUGCCAGCCUUUACAAAGACGUUCUAAUUCAAGAACAUGAAACUAUUUUGAAAGACAUUGACCUGAGUGACACAGAUAUUUUGGACCGGCUGAUAUCUGAGGAGGCCAUUACAGCUAGUGAUGCUGAGGAUAUAAGGAGAGGAGGAGGGAGAAGGGAAAAGGCAAGAAGCCUUCUGCUGAUGUUGGAACAGCGCGGACACGGUUCUUUUGUGAGCUUUAUGGACGCGUUGGAACCAGACUACAGGCACAUCCACACAACACUGAAACGAUCGCUCAGUAUAAUGUAUAAAGAAAAGAAACAUGGACGCUUGAAGUGCAUCGUCUGUAAAAUUAUUGAAAACGUUCCACCUCGUGAGGUCAUCGACAAAUGUUUCACCCAGAAGGUCAUUCCUACCAAGGUCAUGCGGGACAUACACGAAUGUGGUGACCCCAAAAAGGGAUGGGAACAACUUAGGCCCCACAUCAAGAAUGAAGAAGCCAUCAAUGUGUUGGCAGAUUCACUACUGCCUAAAUUCAAAGGUUUGCGCGAGGAACUCGACAAAUUCAGGAAAUUGAAGAAAUUUUCUUGUUUCUGCAAAAGCUUGUCUAAUAAACGCAAGAUUGAAGAUUCCAGCAGGAAGGACCCGAUCCCACAGUCCCCUGUAGAACACAAUGAGGCCCAGGAUCUCUCCGACUUGGAUAAGGGUGUAACAGAGAAACACUUGGAUUUGAAAUUGGCUUCGAAAGAGAAUACGAGUGUGUUUUAUCUCGAAGAGCCAGCGUAUAAAUUUAAUGAGACGGGAUUCAGGGAGAAAUUCCAUCGACAGGCAAUCAGGAAAAGGGACAUCAAGGAAAAAAUCAUCAAAGAAACUUAGGAUAUGUACAGUUAUUUGUUAAAGCAAUGAAGACAAAUUAUUUUUACAUCUAUUAGAUUUUUAUUGUACAUUGGCAAUUCAUAAAUAUUUGAUCUCAAUUCAUUAUCAUUCAUUUGUGCAAGUUUUUAGAGGUAGCAAUGAACCUACGUCAUGUAUUACCCGCCUACAGGUAGAUACUUGUUUAACUGAGCCCGUUUUAAUUUACCCCUUUAUUUAGGAAUAACCUAUGGGUAUAAAUAUCUUAUUGAUGUAUAUACUAAAAGGAAAAAGACAGGAUGUUACCUGUUUUAAUUUGUAAGGGUGAAGUCUUGAUCUGUAUCGCAUGCAUAUAUGUCUUUGUGAUGCUUGACUUAAAUGAAUAUCCUAAUUAAAUUGAAUGCGCGU
rnacentral:misc_RNA from 1 species